GACGAACCGUACGAACGUUAUUCGGAAUCACUGGGCUUAAAGGGUGCGUAGGCGGCUUAUCAAGUUGGGUGUGAAAUCCCCUGGCUCAACCAGGGAACUGCGCUCAAAACUGAUAGGCUUGAGGGAGAUAGAGGUGAGCGGAACUGAUGGUGGAGCGGUGGAAUGCGUUGAUAUCAUCAGGAACACCAGUUGCGAAAGCGGCUCACUGGGUCUCUUCUGACGCUGAGGCACGAAAGCUAGGGGAGCGAACGGG
rnacentral:rRNA from 1 species